GAAUGUUUAUUGAACUGUUAAUAUUGAGCUGAAAGAAAUAGAGUUAGAAUUCAACCCCCAUAUUCCCACUUGCCAAUGCAUCAGUGUUAUUAUAUUAGAUAUCGAUAAAGAAAAGAUAAAACGAGACAUAUAUAGGGAUCCCAUACGUCCCGUAUUAUACGGAAUUGUCCCAUAUUUGAGACAAGCGUCCCGGUGUCCCGACCAAAUAUUCUAAACAACACUUUUGUCCCGUAUUUUAAAUCACCCAUCCCAUAUGUCC